rnacentral:rRNA from 1 species
UACGAAGGGGGCUAGCGUUGUUCGGAAUCACUGGGCGUAAAGGGCGCGUAGGCGGCUUGAUAAGUCGGGGGGUGAAAGCCUGUGGCUCAACCACAGAAUUGCCUUCGAUACUGUCGAGCUUGAGACCGGAAGAGGUAAGUGGGACUGCGAGUGUAGAGGUGAAAUUCGUAGAUAUUCGCAAGAACACCAGUGGCGAAGGCGGCUCACUGGCCCGGUACUGACGCUGAGGUGCGAAAAGCGUGGGGAGCAAACAGG